UAUUCAAUUGUAAAGUUUAGUUUAUCCUUUCAUCGUAACCACAAUUGUCACCUAAAUCUCUAAAAAUCUCUUCACUUAUCUAGUUAAUGUCGUAACAAAAAAGUCCAGUAGCUUCGGGAAAUGAUGCUUGGAAUCAUACAAGUCGACGUGGGUUUUCCCUUCAACAAUGUACAGCUCUUUUGGCUCGGAAGCGACAGCAUAUGCUUCCUUUGAAAAAUACAGAGUGUCAGCCUUCUCACCAGCUAUGUACAACAAAGGCCUAGGAGCCAUUUGUUUAAGAACAUCCGUGGCUCCAUAAAAGCCAGCCAAUAACUCCAUGCUCCACGGCUGGAAAAUACCGGUGGAUCGAGGAUGGGAACCACGCGGUGUACAAUAAUAGUCAUAGGCUUCUUUGAAUAAUAAUGGGGUGGCAUCAGACAAUUGCUCUCUUUGGGGGAAUAAAUUGAACAAGUCAUAUGACUCACCCUUACAAAUUUGGUUCGCGAGGCAGCGGCACCUUCUAAUGCAGAAGAUAAUUGUUCGGUUGUUUGCAUAGGUUUUCCAUCAGCAUUUCUAAUACCUUCACGUAUGACGCUACCAAAAUCUGCAGCAGAGACAGUAGCAACCGAUUUAAUACGUUUAUCCGUUGAAGCUGCGAUGGGAACAUACAUUCCUGAAGCACAGAUUCCCACCGCUCCGAUACGACUCGGAUCUACUUUGUCUUCUAGGAUGGACAGGUAAGUGACAGCAGCUUUGACAUCCUCGAUACGUUGAGAUGGAUCCUCAAUUCCUCUAGGUUCACCACCAGACUCACCUUGAUAAGCCGCGUCAAACACUAAAGCCAUAAAUCCAUUUUCAGCAAGAAACUUAGCAUGAAAACUGGCCGUUUGUUCUUUGACGCCACCGCCUGGAUAACCGACAACCACAGCAGCCUUUGUGCUAGCAACUUUACUUUCAGAAACUGGCUAAUAUAGGAUGCCAGAAAUAGGGAUACCCCUUGAAGAAAAUGUGACUUUCGUAGACUUGAUUCCUGCUGACAUUGUACUCGAGUUGGAUAACGUUAGAUUUUGAAGUUGAAAGGGGAAGUUAGUAAUGUACCAGUAACGAUAAUGAUAAAUUCAAAGCCAUUAACACUUAACAUUACACAAUAAAAUAAUAAUCGAAUAAAACCAUGCUGUUCUUCAAUCAAAUUCACAUUGUA